UGGCAUUGGAAAUUCGGAUCUUAUCCUCCAGGGGGAGCCCCGUCGCCCCCCUUUCCCCCUCUCUCGCCCUCAAACUCCAGUGUUUGCACUUCUGCCGUGCAAAAGAGACCACCGGAUCUAUCCAGCAAACGGCGCUGUUUGAGAAGCCUUAAUCAGAGCAAAGGCCAAAGGGUUCCAUUUGUGACAUGAGCGAAUCACAGGGCUUACUGUGUUAAUUUUCCAGUAAUAAUACCAAAAGUCAACCGGCGUGGAAAUUCGGAUCAUAUCAAGUAGGAUCGUCGAACCUUUCCCCUCUCUACAAAAAUCGCCAUCAAACUCUAGGGGUUGCACUUCAUCUGUUCAAGACCACCGGAUCUCACCAGAAAAUGACACUGUUUGGGAAGCUUUGGUUUUACCUUUAAUCAGGUACUCGAAACUGGAUUUGUUGAUAUGCCAAGUUACUUUGUUUUGUUUUUUAGGUAUUAUAUGCUUCCCAGUAUUUUCAUGUUUUUGAUUGUUAUUGUCCUGGUUUCAUGAGAUUUGUAGUAAGAAUAUCGAAACCAGAAACCCAUUACCCUGAAGUGUGCCAUAUAUCCCUUGGAAGAGUGAACUUAGUUGUCAACCCCAACGUGCUGGCCUAGUGUUCAAGGCAUGGGACUAGGGGGUUUCUCCUUCCUAAGCUCUCAGGGUUUGGUUUUGAUCUAGUGUUCUAUUGUCCAUUAUGGUCCAGUGUGCGGCUGGGAUUCAUAGUGAUACAUUCAAGGCUCCAGAUCAAGCGAUGUUAUAGUUCUGUUAACUCCAUUAUGAUGGCCUGAACACCUAAGUUAUGAAAUAAAGAAGAAGAGUGAACUUAAUAGUCAGCAACAUAUUUCUGGAUAUUUAGACACGUGUCUUUAUACAAAUAUGUUUUCUGCCAAUAAAAAGUUGCACCUGCUUUUUUCCGUCCAUGAGCAGUCAUUUUACAAUCAAAGAUGCAUGUUCGUUGCAACUGAACUUAUCAUAAAAGUUGAUUAUUGAACCAAGUUAUUUUUUGAAGUUGAUUAUCAUAAAAGUUGGAACUUCUCAAAGAUCAUGUACUUAUAGCUUUUUUGAAGUUGUUUUUUGGAAUUCUCUGAAUUUGGAAAAGCCAAAAGUUGUGGCACUUAAGGCACAAUUAACUCAAGUUAUAGUUAAGGUACUACUGCAUCAAAGGUUCUAAAAAGUUUGGAAUGGUCGUAUCUUCUUUAGCCCUUAUGUGGCUCAGCCCCUGUUGCGCUUCAAUAGGGGUGGAUCUACGCAAGGGUUCGAGGAACCAUGGCCAAUCUCUUGGAAUCUUUGGUAGUUCAAGUACUUUUGAGCAAACAGUUGAAUAAAGCACUUUUGAAAGAAUUUAAAAUCUACUUCACUCAAAGGAAAAAGGAAAGAAAUAAGAUAAUAAUUCAACUCAAGACCAAUGUUGAAAUUAAAAAUGCCAAAAGUUGUGGCAAUUGAACCACAACUAACUCAAGUUAUCUAGUCAAGGUACUACUGCAUCAAAGAUUCUAAAACGUUUGGAAUGGCUGUAUCUUCUUUAGCCCCUAUUGCGCUUCAAGAGGAGUGGAUCUACACAAGAGUGCGAGUUCAAGUACUUUUAAGCAAAUAGUAUAAUAAAGCACUUUUGAAAGAAUUUAAAAUUUACUCCACAAGGAAAAAGGAAAUAAAUAAGAUAACAAUUCGACUCUAGACCAGUGUUGGAAUUAAAGAAGCCAAAAGUUGUGGCAAUUAAUCAGGCCUAGUUUCCCAAAAGUGUUAAGGUACUAAAAAUACUAAGGGUGUCUCCAAUGGCAUAACCAAAAUCAGAUAAUCAAAAGUUGCCACAUUAACUUUUAGUUAUCCAUUUAAGAGAUUGGUAAGCUUAACAAUAUUGAGGUCCACAAUGGUCCAUAAUAAAAAUUUAUUUUAGUAGAUACAGAUAGAGAGAGAGUAAGGAAUAAGUAGAAGUAGAUUGGUCUAUUGAUAGUGAUGGAAAUACAGAGAAAGAAAAAAGAGACAGUGGUCCUCAUUCAAUUUAGCUAUCCAAAGCGAAAAAAUUGCUAGUUUUGGUUAUCUGAAGGCCAAAAUUUGGUUAUUGAUUAAUGGGUUGCUAAGUUUGGUUAUACCAUUGUGAGGCAUUUUUUGGACAAACAUUGUUAGGUUUAGAAAUCUUUUAGUUUUUGUUGGAGUUUGUCCCACAUCGGUUAAUUAGCUUCUCCAAAACUAGUAUAUGAGCUUGGACGGCCUCUCCAUUCCUUGUCAAUUGGUUUGGAGUUAAAUGCUUUAACAUGGUAUCAGAGUUAGGCUUUUGGAGAAUUUGUAUCCCCUUGCUUGUGCCACACCGUUGUUUGUUGUGAUCUAAAUGUUGUGGAUCGUUUGUUUAUCUCUCCACGUGCGAGUUGGGAAUUGCACUUGUAGGAGAGUGUUAGAGUUUAGCCCACAUCGGUUAAUUAUCUCCUCCAAAACUAGAAUAUGAGCCUGGUUGGCCUCUCCACUCCUUGCCAACUGGUUUGGAGUUUGAUCCUUUAACAGUUUUGAUUAUGCCAUUAUGGAUAUCCCAAAGGGGCUUUUUUCUUUUUGUAUUUUGUAAAGAAAAAAAGAAGAAGCAUCUUUAGUACUUAUAGCAACUUUGGGAAACUAGGCCUAACUCAAGUUAUCAAGUUAAAGGUACUAUUGCAUCAAAGGUUCUAAAAAGGUUUGGAAUGGUCGUAUCUUCUUUAGCCCCUAUGUGGCUCCGCCCCUGUUGUUCUUCAAUAGGGGUGGAUCUACGCAAGGGUUCGAGGGACCAUGAUCCCCAAUCUCAUGGAAUCUUUGGUAUUUCAAGUACUUUUAAGCAAACAGUACAAUAAACCACUUUUGAAAGAAUUUAAAAUCUACUCCACUUAAAAAAAAAAAAAAAAAGGGAGGAAAGAAAUAAGAUACUAAUUCAACUCUAGACCAAUGUUGGAAUUAAAGAAGCCAAAAGUAGUGGCAAUUAAGUAGGCCUAGUUUCCCAAAAGUGCUAAAAGUGUUAAAAGUGCUAAAAGUACUAAAGGGGCUUUUUUCCCUUUGUAUUUUGUGAAGGAAAAAAAAAGUAUCUUUAAUACUUUUAGUACUUUUGGCACUUUUAUCAACUUUGGGAAACUAGGCCUAACUCAAUUUAUCAAGUUAAGGUACUACUGCAUCAAAGGUUCUAAAAAGUUUGGAAUGGUCUUAUCUUCUUUAGCCCCUAUGAAGCUCCGACCUUGUUGCCCUUCGAGAGGGGUAGAUCUACGCAAGGGUUCGAAGGACCAUGACCCCCAAUCUCAUGGAAUCUUUGAUAGUUCAAGUACUUUUAAGCAACAAUAUAAUAAGACACUUUUGAAAGAAUUUAAUAUCUACUCCACUUCAAAGAAAAAGGAAAGAAAUAAGAGACUAAUUCAACUCUAGACCAAUAUUGGAUUAAAGAAGCCAAAAGUUGUGGCUAUUAAGUAGGCCUAGUUUUCCAAAAGUGCUAAAAGUACUAAAAGGGCUUUUUUUCCCUUUUGUAUUUUGUGAAGAAAAAAAAGCAUCUUUAGUAUUUUUAGUACUUUUGACACUUUUAUCAACUUUGGAAAACUAGGCCUAACUCAAGUUGCCAAGUUAAGGUACUACUGCAUCAAAGGUUCUGAAAAGUUUGGAAUGGCCGUUUCUUCUUUAGCCCCUUUGUAGCUCCGCUCCUGUUGCGCUUCAACAAGGGUGGAACUACGCAAGGGUUCGAGGGACCAUGACCCCCCAAUCUCUUGGAAUCUUUGGUAGUUCAAGUACUUUAAGCAAAAAGUAUAAUAAAGCAGUUUUUAAAUAAUUUAAAAUCUAUGCCAUUUAAAUGAAAAAGGAAAGAAACAAGAUACUAAUUAAAUUCUAGAACAAUGUUGAAAAGAAAAAUCAGAUAGUCAACUUGUUCUUGCUUAUCAAAAGAAGGCAUGCAAGACAGCCCGUGCCCUCCUUGCCAUGUGAGUAGCUAAAAUUUGGCUUUCGGAUUUGAUAAAUGCGAGGGGAUGGUGGUUGGGGAUUUACCUGGAAUUUUUGUUUCAAGGUGGUUUGGACAAUUUGGCAUUUUAGAUAUAUAAACUCUGACGGAAGAAGUCAAUUUUGGUCAAUCCCAAAUUUAACAUGCUGCAAUGCCUAAACUUCUCUCCAAUCCUAGAAUGCUGGAAAAAUAGCCAUUGGUGUUGUUUUGGAUGAUAUGGCAAUGUCUGACACAUGCUCCAAAUAUAACUACAAGAUUUGCAUUGCGGAAGUUUGGCAAGACCAACGAAAAAGAGCUUUGGCCAAAUUUAGGGAAUAGUAGCUUAUUUGGCAGUUGCAUUGGAGAUGCUAUCACUAUGGACAAGAACAAUAGAAAUGCAGUUUGCCAAAGUAAAUCUUGAUUGAAGGGACUAAAUACAGAAAAAGCUCUGAAAUAAGAAGAGCCCAACUUAUAAUCUCACACAUAUUCAUAUGACUAACGUGAACACUCUUGAAAAUGCUUGCAAAAUGAUUUUGUAAGGCCUAGAUAUACAUCCACACUUGACUCUAUAUAACAUAGACCAUGGCAAAAAAAAACAGAGUUUGAAGUGCCUUGGUUCCUACAAACCUCCCUAGCUUUUGCUUUUUCUACGCCUUGACAAGGGUGGGUCUCUGGCAGGGGCCAAUGAAUUGCCCAAGCUUCAAAACCUUUUCUACUCAAAGUACCCUUUAAUAAUUGGCUUCCUUGCUGCUAUUGCCAAACAACAUCCCAAGUACCUUUUUUUGGUCUUGAAUGCAUAGCUAAAAUAUGCCAAGUACAUGGGCGAAUUUGUAAAUAGCUUUCUUUUGCCAAACAUUGCCACAUAAUAAUUCAAAAUAACAUUUUUGGACGAUAUUGAAAUAGUAUGUAUGCAAAUAGAAAGUUACAGACUAUAGGUAAUUUGAGUGGACUAGUUGUGAAAGGGAUUAUUAGUAGCAGAUUAUGGUAUUGUACAUCUAUAUUUCAUGGUCUAUUUAUCAAACGGAUAUCUAAUGACCGUGAAAAAACGAAUAUAUGAAGGAUAUGUCGCCCUCUUUGAUUUAUCGUUCAAUCCGAUAUUUUAAUUCGUAGCCUUCCUUUUUGUGGUAAAAAAAUGGUCCUUUUAUUUUAGUAUUAUUGAUAUAAAAGAUGUUAUUUUAGCUAUUCGAGCCAAGGUUAUCUGGGGGGAGAUAGAGAGAGGGGUGACUUUUUACCCGAAGGUAAUCGUGAUUUUUACGUAUAUAUAAUAGAAUUGGUGGUAGGUAUAGUAGUUGCUCAUUUAAUAAAAUUAUGAAGCCAUAAUAUAACUUGGCUGGUCAGAUUUGCAAUGUGAACAUUAAAAUGCUAAACAUACGGAUACACGAAUAUUUGUGGAUAGAACCUCACCAGAAUGAGUUUGGUUAUAUCCUUAUUUUAAUUACCAGAGAGAGAUGUCUGGAGGAGAAGAAAUUGUGAGAGAGGGAGAGAUGUGUGGGAGGGAGUGAUAUUGUGCUGUCCGAAGAAGAAACUGAAUGUGAGGGAGAGAUGUCUGGAGUAGAAGAAAUGGUCGCAGAGGGAGGGGCAUUGGUAAAAUUGAAGAAGAUCAUCGACCAUGAGCAUCCUCUGACUAAGAUAGAUGGGCGUUUGUGUAUGGAUGAAAAGCUGCAACCAUUGUGAUCUUUACAUAUUCUGGCGUACUAAUUUCGCUUGCCACACUUGCAAGUUCUUCAUCCGCACUUGUUGCCUCAAACAUGUGAAAGAAUCAGUUACAGUGGCCGCCAAAGGAUCAGAGGAUCAGCUCCAGCUCCAAGCUCAAUCAAUUGCGAAUCAGUUAGAGAAGUCAAGCUUUAGUUAGUUAGGCUUGUCAUGGGUGCAAUUUUAAUAACAUGUGAUGAAAUUCCAGAGUCUGUGGCAGAGUGAUAGGAUCUACUAUUGCUAUAUAAGGAGGUGUGUCUGUAUUGUUGAAUUUUUUUUUUGGUCGGCGAAAGUCAACAUUGUUGGUUGUAGUUAGUAAUAUUUGAACCAUGUCAAGUGCAUAAGAGUGCAUGUGGUGUCAGUUGGCUGGCACUCCACUUGCCUGUAUUCUGGAGUUGAGUUGAGAAAAAGAGAAUUUAUUUGUUAUGAA